rnacentral:lncRNA from 1 species
CUCAAAUGAGACGGAUAAUUAGUUGCCCCGCACGAAUGCCGCACUCUUCUCACCCCUGAUUGCUAUCACCUUCUUGCUCCUGGCAGUUUUGACACCUCGUAAUCAGCCUGCUGCUUUUCUCUUUUCUUCCCGACUUCUGCUUCCCUCCCCCCGCUUUCCUUCCUAGUUUAUUUAUUUAUUUAUUAUUAUUAUUUUAAAUGCAAUCCCGGUGCUUAU